rnacentral:rRNA from 1 species
CGAAAUCUGGGCACGCGGCCGAGGAAAUACAGAGGUGUCGAGGGUUAAUCGGAAUUACUGUGCCGAAAGUGAGUGUAGGUGACGCAUGAAGUCACAUGUGAAAUCCCCGGGCUUAACCGGGUAACUGCAUGUGAUACGGGUGGGGCUAGAAUAUGUGAGAGGGAAGUAGAAAUCCAGGUGUAGCGGUGAAAUGCGUAGAGAUCUGGAGGAAUACCGAUGGCGAAGGCAGCUUCCUGGCAUAAUAUUGACACUGAGAUUCGAAAGCGUGGGUAGCAAACAGGAUUAGAUACCCUAGUAGUC